UACGUAGGGGGCAAGCGUUGUCCGGAAUCAUUGGGCGUAAAGAGCGUGUAGGCGGCCCGAUAAGUCCUCUGUGAAAGUCCAGGGCUCAACCCUGGGAUGCCGGUGGAUACUGUCGGGCUCGAGUCCGGAAGAGGAGUGUGGAAUUCCUGGUGUAGCGGUGAAAUGCGCAGAUAUCAGGAGGAACACCAAUGGCGAAGGCAGCACUCUGGGACGUGACUGACGCUGAGACGCGAAAGCGUGGGGAGCAAACAGG
rnacentral:rRNA from 1 species